ensembl:rRNA 5S_rRNA 5S ribosomal RNA
GCUAAAGCCAAGUGCUGCAUGGGUGCUGCCUGGGGCUGUGUGGACUUGACAGGUCUCACCAGCUAAGCAGGCUUGUGCCUGGUCAGUACUUUAAUGGGAGAACUGCAGGAGAAAUCAUGGGUGCUUCUGGCU